ensembl:lncRNA
AGAGUACGGUGCAUAGACUGUAUAUACAUUUUUUUUUUCCGUUGGUUUUCAUGGUCAAAAUGAGAGGUCAGGUGGCCGAUCUUAAAAUAAAUCAAUACCGAUUUUUUUAUAGAGCGUUAAAGUUUUGCGAAGCCACGGGGCGGGGCUACUUGAUUGACAGUCCGGUCUGGAACGAUGGACAGGUCCUAUGGAGGAGGCAGCAGAGACUCUGCUCUCCUCGUUUGGAUUAAUUCUGAUAUAAUAACUGUUGGUUUAUUUAUCGGUGCAGCAGCAGAACAUUUUCCACAAACAGUUUUCCUGCCCGUUGGCUUGUUUUAACCAGUUUUCUACCUUCGGCUGAUUUUACCAGCAGACACUGAAAGGACUCUGAUAGUUCGAGUGAAAGUAGCAGUUCCUCCUUAAGGUCAGAGAUUGCAGCAUCUGAGGGCCUCUUCAAAAGAAGACGUAGUUGAUGAAGGCGUUCUGGAGCAGGACCAGAAAGACCACGACCAAGUAGCCUUGAGAUCUUAGGCAGCAUCUCCCUGAGACCAAAGAACUACAGACUCUUCACAACCUCCUCAAACUCUUGGUACAGGACCUCACCAUACGGGUCAAGAAGGUUUCCGUCUCAUUUCUACUCUGAAGCUCACCUUCUCCUGCUCAAACUGCUGACAAAUGUUUCUGCUGCUCUAAAGUCUGCUCUCCAGAACUUCCUAAAAACUCUCAAAGUCUCUUCUGCUGCAGGUUGCUUUGUAGAACUGUUGCAGAAAACCUCACUAAACCACAUGGAGGGGCCUCAAGAUAGUCAUCCAAAUGAAACCAUACAAAAACCAAACUAGCACAACCCAAACGCUAAAGUCUCCUGCAGCCUACCAGAGAACCUCUGAGAACAGAGAAUCAGCACAGGAACUCUUACCUUCAGGACAACCAACGUUGGUUCUCAAACCAGAAUACAGAAUGUGUCUGACCAAAAACCUGUAAAGACUCACUACAGCCAAGAUAGACACAACUCAGCUGCAGCAAAUCCACUAAUCACUGCACACAUUAGCACCAUGUGCUAACUGUGGCUAAAGAACCACAUUUACCAAGACAACUAUCUGCUACAAAGCCCUAAAACACACCAAGAAACACAUUAAAGCCUAUUUUACUGCUGGAAGCUGCAAGCCAAUGCCUAAAAAACAAACUAAAGCAACAGAGCCAAGCCCGGUUUACUGGUGAAGAGAAGCAGAGGAAAUGUUUGGCUGCAGCUAAAUAAAGCAGGAAGAUACUGAGCUGCUCAGGUGUUUCUGA